rnacentral:rRNA from 1 species
GACGAACGCUGGCGGCGUGCUUAACACAUGCAAGUCGAGCGGUAAGGCCCUUUCGGGGGUACACGAGCGGCGAACGGGUGAGUAACACGUGGGUGACCUGCCCUCAGCUCUGGGAUAAGCCUGGGAAACCGGGUCUAAUACCGGAUAUGACUCCAUGACGCAUGUUGUGGGGUGGAAAGCCUUGUGCGGCUGAGGAUGGGCCCGCGGCCUAUCAGCUUGUUGGUGGGGUGAUGGCCUACCAAGGCGACGACGGGUAGCCGGCCUGAGAGGGCGACCGGCCACACUGGGACUGAGACACGGCCCAGACUCCUACGGGAGGCAGCAGUGGGGAAUUUUGGACAAUGGGCGCAAGCCUGAUCCAGCCAUGCCGCGUGAGUGAAGAA